CCUACGGGAGGCAGCAGUGAGGAAUAUUGGUCAAUGGACGGAAGGCUGAACCAGCCAAGCAGCGUGAAGGACGAAGGUGCCAAGCAUUGUAAACUUCUUUUGUCAAGGGACAAAAUCAGGCUCGAGAGCCUGAACGAGGGUACUUGAUGAAAAAGCAUCGGCUAACUCCGUGCCAGCAGCCGCGGUAAUACGGAGGAUGCGAGCGUUAUCCGGAUUUAUUGGGUUUAAAGGGGGCGUAGGCGGGCUGUUAAGUCAGCGGUAAAAGUCUGGGGCUCAACCCCGUCGAGCCGUUGAAUAUGGGUGUCUUUGGGUGUCGAGAGGUAUGCGGAAUGCGCAGGGUAGCGGUGAAAUGCUUAGAUAUUGCGCAGAACUCCGAUUGCGAAGGCAGCAUUACGGCGGCGAUAUGACGCUGAGGCACGAAAGCGUGGGUAUCGAACAGGAUUAGAUACCCUUGUAGUC
rnacentral:rRNA from 1 species